GUAGAUGUGAGCAUCAAACGUGGUCUUCCACUCAGGAUACAUGGUCGGCUUCUUCUGCACCAGCGUCUUCCCUCGCUCUGCGAUGGGGUCAGGCAGGAAAGGCAUUCACUCAGUGAACCCCUGCUGAGAGUUGCCAAGUGCCAGCCACAGCACGGGAGGUGAGGAACAUGACAGAAAGAAAAGUCAAACCUGGGGCCUGUCCUCCUGGAGCCCCAGUCCAGGGCAGAGACACAAACCAACACAUUCCUUGAGUAACCACUUAAGUCACAGCUGUGACGAAAUUAAAGAAGGCAAGGCCAGUGGUUCUAAGGCCAUCCAUGGUCAAGUGGCCUGACCCAGCCUAAGGGUCAGGGAAGGCUUCCUGGAGGAAUGGACAGUCAGCUGGGUCUUAGAGGACUCAUUGCCUGGUGAUACGUCCAGCUCCCCAUCUAACUGUGAACCCCAUGAGGGAAGGACUUGGACGGUCCUGGAUCAUGACAGGGUCCUCAGAUGGACACGUGGAAACGGUUAGGUGGAACAACCAAUACAGCCAGAAACUCUAAAGCCUGGUGGGGUUCAAUUUAGCCAGGCCUUGAGACCCUGUGGCCUUAGCUUUCCUGCAUCCAUAGCUGGGCAGGGAGAUAAGAACAAGGAAGAGAAGACACCUUAGAGGUUCCACAGAACAAAGUAAGGCCCCUGGCCCCUCCUGCUGAGCCUCACACCGCCACCCCAGGGUCUGGGCUUCGGCCCUACCUGUGCUGAGAGCCUCCUUCAUCUUCACGG